CACGACAAUUGAUGAGCUUAUAGACCUGUAAUGAUUUGGAGGCUGCGAUCGCAAUUAUUAAUGAACAUGUAAAGGACUGAGUCAUA